ACAACACAAGUCAACGCUGCCGCUUUACAGCUUCGAACUGAGGAGCAAGUACGCAUGCGUGGUUCCCUUCCCAACAACAUCACCACCACUUACCGUUUCCAAGGAGACACGUGGUCCUCCCACAACAACGCCAUCUCCCCAAAUCCGGGAUCUCAACGCCAUCGUCGUGCUUCUGACCCGCGUAUUUGUGGGCGUUUGUGUUGUGGCGUUCCUUCAGUUGGCGCUCAUCUGUAUCCUUCUGUGCAAGCUCCC